UACGGAGGGAGCUAGCGUUGUUCGGAAUUACUGGGCGUAAAGCGCACGUAGGCGGCUUUGUAAGUUAGAGGUGAAAGCCCGGGGCUCAACUCCGGAACUGCCUUUAAGACUGCAUCGCUUGAAUCCAGGAGAGGUGAGUGGAAUUCCGAGUGUAGAGGUGAAAUUCGUAGAUAUUCGGAAGAACACCAGUGGCGAAGGCGGCUUUCUGGACAUUUACUGACGCUGAGACGCGAAAGCGUGGGGAGCAAACAGG
rnacentral:rRNA from 1 species